rnacentral:pre_miRNA from 1 species
UACUUAGAAAGGUGCAGAUUGCUUAAACUAAGUGUAAUUUGUGCCUUUCUGAGU